AGUGAACGCUGGCGGUAGGCCUAACACAUGCAAGUCGAACGGCAGCACAGUAAGAGCUUGCUCUUACGGGUGGCGAGUGGCGGACGGGUGAGGAAUACACCGGAAUUUACUUUUUCGUGGGGGAUAACGUAGGGAAACUUACGCUAAUACCGCAUACGACCUACGGGUGAAAGCAGGGGAUCUUCGGACCUUGCGCGAUUGAAUGAGCCGAUGUCGGAUUAGCUAGUUGGCGGGGUAAAGGCCCACCAAGGCGACGAUCCGUAGCUGGUCUGAGAGGAUGAUCAGCCACACUGGAACUGAGACACGGUCCAGACUCCUGCGGGAGGCAGCAGUGGGGAAUAUUGGACAAUGGGCGCAAGCCUGAUCCAGCCAUACCGCGUGGGUGAAGAAGGCCUUCGGGUUGUAAAGCCCUUUUGUUGGGAAAGAAAAGCAGCAGGUUAAUACCCCGCUGUUCUGACGGUACCCAAAGAAUAAGCACCGGCUAACUUCGUG
rnacentral:rRNA from 1 species